rnacentral:rRNA from 1 species
AGGUACGUAGGCUGUUAUUUAAGUCAGAUGUGAAAGCCCCGGGCUUAACCUGGGAACUGCAUUUGAUACUGGGUAACUAGAGUCUGGUAGAGGGUAGUGGAAUUCCACGUGUAGCGGUGAAAUGCGUAGAUAUGUGGAGGAACAUCAGUGGCGAAGGCGACUGCCUGGACCAAGACUGACGCUGAGGUACGAAAGCGUGGGGAGCAAACA